UUAAUGGAGAGUUUGAUCCUGGCUCAGGACGAACGCUGGCGGCGUGCUUAACACAUGCAAGUCGA
rnacentral:rRNA from 1 species